rnacentral:rRNA from 1 species
CAGCAGCCGCGGUAAUACAGAGGGUGCGAGCGUUAAUCGGAUUUACUGGGCGUAAAGCGUGCGUAGGCGGCUUUUUAAGUCUGAUGUGAAAUCCCUGAGCUUAACUUAGGAAUUGCAUUCGAUACUGGGAAGCUAGAGUAUGGGAGAGGAUGGUAGAAUUCCAGGUGUAGCGGUGAAAUGCGUAGAGAUCUGGAGGAAUACCGAUGGCGAAGGCAGCCAUCUGGCCUAAUACUGACGCUGAGGUACGAAAGCAUGGGGAGCAAACAGGAUUAGAUACCCCCGUAGUCCCUGUCUCUUAUAC